UACGUAGGGUGCGAGCGUUAAUCGGAAUUACUGGGCGUAAAGCGUGCGUAGGUGGGUCUGUAAGUCCGUGGUGAAAUCUCCGAGCUUAACUUGGAAACUGCCAUGGAUACUAUAGGUCUUGAAUACUGUGGAGGUCAGCGGAAUAUGUCAUGUAGCGGUGAAAUGCUUAGAUAUGACAUAGAACACCAAUUGCGAAGGCAGCUGGCUACACAAAUAUUGACACUGAUGCACGAAAGCGUGGGGAUCAAACAGG
rnacentral:rRNA from 1 species